rnacentral:rRNA from 1 species
GCAGUCGUACGCGGAAGUCCGCUUCGGUGGGCGAGUAGAGUGGCGAACGGGUGAGUAAUGUGUGGGUAAUCUGCCUUUCAGCGGGGGAUAACCCGGGGAAACCUGGGCUAAUACCGCGUAACAUUGCAUGGUCUUCGGAUCGUGUAAUCAAAGAUGGCCUCUGCUUGCAAGCUAUCGCUGAGAGAUGAGCCCACAUCCUAUCACGCUUGUUGGUGGGGUAAUGGCCUACCAAGGCGACGACGGGUAGCCGGCCUGAGAGGGUGUCCGGCCACACUGGAACUGAGACACGGUCCAGACUCCUACGGGAGGCAGCAGUGGGGAAUUUUUCGCAAUGGGCGCAAGCCUGACGAAGCAACGCCGCGUGGAGGAUGAAGGCCCUAGCGGUCGUAAACUCCUGUCUAGCGGGACGAAACCUUGCAGGGUGAAUAAUCCUGCGAAUUGACUGUACCGCUGGAGGAAGCUCCGGCCAACUCCGUGCCAGCAGCCGCGGUAAUACGGAGGGAGCAAGCGUUACUCGGAAUUAUUGGGCGUAAAGGGCGCGUA